rnacentral:tRNA from 1 species
GCGAGAGUGGCGGAAUUGGCAGACGCGCUGGCUUUAGGUGCCAGUGUCUUCGGACGUGGGGGUUCGAGUCCCCCCUCUCGCA